UUAAACGGGGAUGCGCAGUGUUACACUUAGAGUUGUGAUGCGCUUUGACUUUUGAAAAGUGAAGACGUUGAAGACCGACUUUGAAAGAUAUUCUGUGGAUAUUGCGGAGUUAACAGAAGACUGAGAUGGAGGAACAUGAAGAACAGGGCGGCAGUCGUCAGGUGUAGGCAAAUCUUUUAUAGACAGGACAGAGGACGCAGCUCAGAUGAAUCUCCGGAAAGAACUGAACAUCGCAGAGAAUGUGGAACUGCACGAAGGUUUUUAACGACGCCUCGCUUCGAUGUCCCGACAUAAACUUGGAAACCGACAUCAAGCACUAUGGCUGCUGUGGCACGGAAGCAGUGUGGUGUGUAGGUCUUAAUGCACUUUGACGACUUAUCGGCCAUACAUCCUGUGAAUGACCUUUUUGCUAAAGCCUAAUGUCAUCGUCUAGCAGUAAGUACAAUUCCGCAUCACCGAGGACCAGGGUGAAGUUGUAGCAGACGAAAUUUUAGACAUACAUUAGGCCUAGUAGGCUAGUAACUAAAGACAUUGUUUACAGAAAUGUUUUUAUCAAUUAUUGAUGAAAGUUCACUGCUUGGAAUACAAAUAAAACCGUAAAU